ACUAAUGAGAUAAUUAACAAACAACAGGUGAACAGAAUGAUUAAUCAAAGACAAACUGGGUCAAAACACAGAGGAAACACAGAAAACAGCAUACACGUUGCAUUACUGCUCCAUAAUGCUAUUUUAUCAAAAUAUUUCUUUGUUGGAAAAACACUCACCCUGAAGUGAUGCCAUGAUCACAGUUUAGCUGCUCAAAGAUGCUUUCACUACACGUUCUUCUGCACUGUAAAAGUAAUUGUUGGUAUAACAUGAAAAAAUAAUAUAAAACUGCUUCAUUGAACAGUGCCUAUAAUCACAGAAGACAGAUCACAGGCAUAAAUGUCCAAGCGUGGGGAAGGUGAACAUCAUUGAUCAGAAUGACUUAAAUCUCACAGUAGUGAAGGAAGUUCCUCAGUGGACCGUGAGGACCUCUCUGCCCCUCUGGUGCAGGACGUCAGAAACUACUUCCAGAUCAGCCAAGAGUAUUUCUCCAUGCUGCUCGUUGGGAAAGACGGCAAUGUGAAAUCCUGGUACCCC